GACGAACGCUGGCGGCGUGCUUAACACAUGCAAGUCGAACGGAAAGGCCCUGCUUUUGUGGGGUGCUCGAGUGGCGAACGGGUGAGUAACACGUGAGUAACCUGCCCUUGACUUUGGGAUAACUUCAGGAAACUGGGGCUAAUACCGGAUAGGAGCUCCUGCUGCAUGGUGGGGGUUGGAAAGUUUCGGCGGUUGGGGAUGGACUCGCGGCUUAUCAGCUUGUUGGUGGGGUAGUGGCUUACCAAGGCUUUGACGGGAAGCCGGCCUGAGAGGGUGACCGGCCACAUUGGGACUGAGAUACGGCCCAGACUCCUACGGGAGGCAGCAGUGGGGAAUAUUGCACAAUGGGCGGAAGCCUGAUGCAGCAACGCUGCGUGCGGGAUGACGGCCUUCGGGUUGUAAACCGCUUUCGCCUGUGACGAAGCGUGAGUGACGGUAAUGGGUAAAGAAGCACCGGCUAACUACGUG
rnacentral:rRNA from 1 species